rnacentral:rRNA from 1 species
GACGAACGCUGGCGGCGUGCUUAACACAUGCAAGUCGAACGAAGUGGCGAACGGGUGAGUAACGCGUAAUCAACCUGCCCUUCAGAGGGGGACAACAGUUGGAAAAGACUGCUAAUACCGCAUAGUGAAGGAGGGGAUUGCGUCGGGUUAGCUAGCUGGAGGGGUAACGGCCCACCAAGGCGAUGAUCAGUAGCCGGUGUUGGAGGAUGAACGGCCACAAUGGGACUGGGACACGGCCCAGACUCCUACGGGAGGCAGCAGUGGGGAAUCUUCCGCAAUGGACGAAAGUCUGACGGAGCAACGCCGCGUGAGUGAUGACGGCCUUCGGGUUGUAAAGCUCUGUUAAUCGGGACGCGGUACCGGAAUAGAAAGCCACGGCUAACUACGUGCCAGCAGCCGCGGUAAUUC